UACGGAGGGUGCAAGCGUUAUCCGGAUUCACUGGGUUUAAAGGGUGCGUAGGUGGGCAAGUAAGUCAGUGGUGAAAUCUCCGGGCUUAACCCGGAAACUGCCAUUAAUACUAUUUGUCUUGAAUACUGUGGAGGUCAGCGGAAUAUGUCAUGUAGCGGUGAAAUGCUUAGAUAUGACAUAGAACACCAAUUGCGAAGGCAGCUGGCUACACAAAUAUUGACACUGAGGCACGAAAGCGUGGGGAUCAAACAGG
rnacentral:rRNA from 1 species